rnacentral:rRNA from 1 species
UAGGGAAUAUUAGAAAUGGACGAAAGUCUGAUCUAGCAACACCGCGUGUGCGAAGAAGGCCUUCGGGUCGUAAAGCACUUUUUGGAAGGAAUAGGAAGGAAUGUACUUCCAGAAUAAGCCCCGGCUAACUACGUGCCAGCAGCCGCGGUAAUACGUAGGGGGCGAGCGUUGCUCGGAUUGACUGGGCGUAAAGCGCGCGUAGGCGGUCCAUUAAGUGUGCGGUGAAAUUCAGAGGCUCAACCUCUGUCCCGCCGCGCAAACUGGUGGUCUUGAGAUUGGGAGGGGGAUGCGGAAUUCCUGGUGUAGCGGUGAAAUGCAUUGAUAUCAGGAGGAACACCGGCGGCGAAAGCGGCAUCCUGGCUUAUAUCUGACGCUGAGGCGCGAAAGCGUGGGUAGCAAACG